GGGCUAGUGGUCUAGUUGGUUAUGACAUCGCUCUCACACGGCGAAGGUCGCCGGUUCGAAUCCGGCCUAGCCCAC
rnacentral:tRNA from 1 species